UGCAAGUCGAGCGGACAGAUGGGAGCUUGCUCCCUGAUGUUAGCGGCGGACGGGUGAGUAACACGUGGGUAACCUGCCUGUAAGACUGGGAUAACUCCGGGAAACCGGGGCUAAUACCGGAUGGUUGUUUGAACCGCAUGGUUCAAACAUAAAAGGUGGCUUCGGCUACCACUUACAGAUGGACCCGCGGCGCAUUAGCUAGUUGGUGAGGUAACGGCUCACCAAGGCAACGAUGCGUAGCCGACCUGAGAGGGUGAUCGGCCACACUGGGACUGAGACACGGCCCAGACUCCUACGGGAGGCAGCAGUAGGGAAUCUUCCGCAAUGGACGAAAGUCUGACGGAGCAACGCCGCGUGAGUGAUGAAGGUUUUCGGAUCGUAAAGCUCUGUUGUUAGGGAAGAACAAGUACCGUUCGAAUAGGGCGGUACCUUGACGGUACCUAACCAGAAAGCCACGGCUAACUACGUGCCAGCAGCCGCGGUAAUACGUAGGUGGCAAGCGUUGUCCGGAAUUAUUGGGCGUAAAGGGCUCGCAGGCGGUUUCUUAAGUCUGAUGUGAAAGCCCCCGGCUCAACCGGGGAGGGUCAUUGGAAACUGGGGAACUUGAGUGCAGAAGAGGAGAGUGGAAUUCCACGUGUAGCGGUGAAAUGCGUAGAGAUGUGGAGGAACACCAGUGGCGAAGGCGACUCUCUGGUCUGUAACUGACGCUGAGGAGCGAAAGCGUGGGGAGCGAACAGGAUUAGAUACCCUGGUAGUCCACGCCGUAAACGAUGAGUGCUAAGUGUUAGGGGGUUUCCGCCCCUUAGUGCUGCAGCUAACGCAUUAAGCACUCCGCCUGGGGAGUACGGUC
rnacentral:rRNA from 1 species